GUGCCAGCCGCCGCGGUAAUACGUAGGGGGCAAGCGUUGUCCGGAAUCAUUGGGCGUAAAGCGCGUGUAGGCGGUUCAGUAAGUCUGCUGUGAAAGUCCAGGGCUCAACCCUGGGAUGCCGGUGGAUACUGCUGGGCUAGAGUACGGAAGAGGCGAGUGGAAUUCCCGGUGUAGCGGUGAAAUGCGCAGAUAUCGGGAGGAACACCAAUUGCGAAGGCAGCUCGCUGGGACGUCACUGACGCUGAGACGCGAAAGCGUGGGGAGCAAACAGGAUUAGAUACCCCUGUAGUCC
rnacentral:rRNA from 1 species